AACGAACGCUGGCGGCAUGCCUAACACAUGCAAGUCGAACGAGACCUUCGGGUCUAGUGGCGCACGGGUGCGUAACGCGUGGGAACCUGCCCUUAGGUUCGGAAUAACUCCCCGAAAGGGGUGCUAAUACCGGAUAAUGUCUUCGGACCAAAGAUUUAUCGCCUUUGGAUGGGCCCGCGUUGGACUAGCUAGUUGGUAGGGUAAAAGCCUACCAAGGCGACGAUCCAUAGCUGGUCUGAGAGGAUGAUCAGCCACACUGGGACUGAGACACGGCCCAGACUCCUACGGGAGGCAGCAGUGGGGAAUAUUGGACGAUGGGCGAAAGCCUGAUCCAGCAAUGCCGCGUGAGUGAUGAAGGCCUUAGGGUUGUAAAGCUCUUUUACCCGGGAUGAUAAUGACAGUACCGGGAGAAUAAGCUCCGGCUAACUCCGUG
rnacentral:rRNA from 1 species